rnacentral:rRNA from 1 species
GAUGAACGCUGGCGGCGUGCCUAAUACAUGCAAGUCGAGCGAACAGACGAGGAGCUUGCUCCUCUGACGUUAGCGGCGGACGGGUGAGUAACACGUGGAUAACCUACCUAUAAGACUGGGAUAACUUCGGGAAACCGGAGCUAAUACCGGAUAAUAUAUUGAACCGCAUGGUUCAAUAGUGAAAGACGGUUUUGCUGUCACUUAUAGAUGGAUCCGCGCCGCAUUAGCUAGUUGGUAAGGUAACGGCUUACCAAGGCAACGAUGCGUAGCCGACCUGAGAGGGUGAUCGGCCACACUGGAACUGAGACACGGUCCAGACUCCUACGGGAGGCAGCAGUAGGGAAUCUUCCGCAAUGGGCGAAAGCCUGACGGAGCAGCGCCGCGUGAAUGAUGAAGGUCUUCGGAUCGUAAAACUCUGUUAUUAGGGAAGAACAAAUGUGUAAGUAACUAUGCACGUCUUGACGGUACCUAAUCAGAAAGCCACGGCUAACUACGUG